rnacentral:rRNA from 1 species
GACGAACGCUGGCGGCGUGCCUAAUACAUGCAAGUCGUACGCUUCUUUUUCCACCGGAGCUUGCUCCACCGGAAAAAGAGGAGUGGCGAACGGGUGAGUAACACGUGGGUAACCUGCCCAUCAGAAGGGGAUAACACUUGGAAACAGGUGCUAAUACCGUAUAACAAUCGAAACCGCAUGGUUUUGAUUUGAAAGGCGCUUUCGGGUGUCGCUGAUGGAUGGACCCGCGGUGCAUUAGCUAGUUGGUGAGGUAACGGCUCACCAAGGACACGAUGCAUAGCCGACCUGAGAGGAUGAUCGGCCACAUUGGGACUGAGAAACGGCCCAAACUCCUACGGGAGGCAGCAGUAGGGAAUCUUCGGCAAUGGACGAAAGUCUGACCGAGCAACGCCGCGUGAGUGAAGAAGGUUUUCGGAUCGUAAAACUCUGUUGUUAGAGAAGAACAAGGAUGAGAGUAACUGUUCAUCCCUUGACGGUAUCUAACCAGAAAGCCACGGCUAACUACGUGCCAGCAGCCGCAGUAA